UUUCCCUACGGGAGGCAGCAGUGAGGAAUAUUGGUCAAUGGGCGCGAGCCUGAACCAGCCAAGUCGCGUGAGGGAAGACGGUCCUAUGGAUUGUAAACCUCUUUUGUCGGGGAGCAAAAGACGCCACGUGUGGCGUUCCGAGAGUACCCGAAGAAAAAGCAUCGGCUAACUCCGUGCCAGCAGCCGCGGUAAUACGGAGGAUGCGAGCGUUAUCCGGAUUUAUUGGGUUUAAAGGGUGCGCAGGCGGCACGGCAAGCCGGCGGUCAAAUCGCGGGGCUCAACCCCGCCCAGC
rnacentral:rRNA from 1 species